AAACAAAAACUGACUCCCGGGCAUAUUUUUUUCGGCCUUUAUGGGCAAAGAACUUUAGUACCGCUCAAAAUGAGGCCACCCAGUAGUUAGGUGUGAAUUUUCGAGACCUUUGGCACCGUUCUAAGAUGGGUCCUCUCUUCGUAGGCUAAUGCAUUGGCCCUUUUUUGACCCGUUUUGGGGCGAAAACAAAAACUGACUCCCGGGCAUAUUUUUUUCGGCCUUUAUGGGCAAAGAACUUUAAGUACCGCUCAAAAUGAGGCCACCCAGUAGUUAGGUGUGAAUUUUCGAGACCUUUGGCAUCGUUCUAAGAUGGGUCCUCUCUUCGUAGGCUAAUGCAUUGGCCCUUUUUUGACCCGUUUUGGGGCGAAAACAAAAACUGACUCCCGGGCAUAUUUUUUUCGGCCUUUAUGGGCAGAGAACUUUAGUACCGCUCAAAAUGAGGCCACCCAGUAGUUAGGUGUGAAUUUUCGAGACCUUUGGCAUCGUUCUAAGAUGGGUCCUCUCUUCGUAGGCUAAUGCAUUGGCCUUUUUUGACCCGUUUUGGGGCGAAAACAAAAACUGACUCCCGGGCAUAUUUUUUUCGGCCUUUAUGGGCAAAGAACUUUAGUACCGCUCAAAAUGAGGCCACCCAGUAGUUAGGUGUGAAUUUUCGAGACCUUUGGCACCGUUCUAAGAUGGGUCCUCUCUUCGUAGGCUAAUGCAUUGGCCCUUUUUGACCCGUUUUGGGGCGAAAACAAAAACUGACUCCCGGGCAUAUUUUUUUCGGCCUUUAUGGGCAAAGAACUUUAGUACCGCUCAAAAUGAGGCCACCCAGUAGUUAGGUGUGAAUUUUCGAGACCUUUGGCACCGUUCUAAGAUGGGUCCUCUCUUCGUAGGCUAAUGCAUUGGCCCUUUUUUGACCCGUUUUGGGGCGAAAACAAAAACUGACUCCCGGGCAUAUUUUUUUCGGCCUUUAUGGGCAAAGAACUUUAGUACCGCUCAAAAUGAGGCCACCCAGUAGUUAGGUGUGAAUUUUCGAGACCUUUGGCAUCGUUCUAAGAUGGGUCCUCUCUUCGUAGGCUAAUGCAUUGGCCCUUUUUUGACCCGUUUUGGGGCGAAAACAAAAACUGACUCCCGGGCAUAUUUUUUUCGGCCUUUAUGGGCAGAGAACUUUAGUACCGCUCAAAAUGAGGCCACCCAGUAGUUAGGUGUGAAUUUUCGAGACCUUUGGCAUCGUUCUAAGAUGGGUCCUCUCUUCGUAGGCUAAUGCAUUGGCCCUUUUUUGACCCGUUUUGGGGCGAAAACAAAAACUGACUCCCGGGCAUAUUUUUUUCGGCCUUUAUGGGCAGAGAACUUUAGUACCGCUCAAAAUGAGGCCACCCAGUAGUUAGGUGUGAAUUUUCGAGACCUUUGGCAUCGUUCUAAGAUGGGUCCUCUCUUCGUAGGCUAAUGCAUUGGCCCUUUUUUGACCCCUUUUUGGGGCGAAAACAAAAACUGACUCCCGAGCAUAUUUUUUUCGGCCUUUAUGGGCAAAGAACUUUAGUACCGCUCAAAAUGAGGCCACCCAGUAGUUAGGUGUGAAUUUUCGAGACCUUUGGCAUCGUUCUAAGAUGGGUCCUCUCUUCGUAGGCUAAUGCAUUGGCCCUUUUUUGACCCGUUUUGGGGCGAAAACAAAAACUGACUCCCGGGCAUAUUUUUUUCGGCCUUUAUGGGCAAAGAACUUUAGUACCGCUCAAAAUGAGGCCACCCAGUAGUUAGGUGUGAAUUUUCGAGACCUUUGGCAUCGUUCUAAGAUGGGUCCUCUCUUCGUAGGCUAAUGCAUUGGCCCUUUUUUGACCCGUUUUGGGGCGAAAACAAAAACUGACUCCCGGGCAUAUUUUUUUCGGCCUUUAUGGGCAAAGAACUUUAGUACCGCUCAAAAUGAGGCCACCCAGUAGUUAGGUGUGAAUUUUCGAGACCUUUGGCAUCGUUCUAAGAUGGGUCCUCUCUUCGUAGGCUAAUGCAUUGGCCCUUUUUUGACCCGUUUUGGGGCGAAAAACAAAAACUGACUCCCGGGCAUAUUUUUUUCGGCCUUUAUGGGCAAAGAACUUUAGUACCGCUCAAAAUGAGGCCACCCAGUAGUUAGGUGUGAAUUUUCGAGACCUUUUGGCAUCGUUCUAAGAUGGGUCCUCUCUUCGUAGGCUAAUGCAUUGGCCUUUUUUGACCCGUUUUGGGGCGAAAAACAAAAACUGACUCCCGGGCAUAUUUUUUUCGGCCUUUAUGGGCAAAGAACUUUAGUACCGCUCAAAAUGAGGCCACCCAGUAGUUAGGUGUGAAUUUUCGAGACCUUUGGCAUCGUUCUAAGAUGGGUCCUCUCUUCGUAGGCUAAUGCAUUGGCCCUUUUUUGACCCGUUUUGGGGCGAAAACAAAAACUGACUCCCGGGCAUAUUUUUUUCGGCCUUUAUGGGCAGAGAACUUUAGUACCGCUCAAAAUGAGGCCACCCAGUAGUUAGGUGUGAAUUUUCGAGACCUUUGGCAUCGUUCUAAGAUGGGUCCUCUCUUCGUAGGCUAAUGCAUUGGCCCUUUUUUGACCCGUUUUGGGGCGAAAACAAAAACUGACUCCCGGGCAUAUUUUUUUCGGCCUUUAUGGGCAAAGAACUUUAGUACCGCUCAAAAUGAGGCCACCCAGUAGUUAGGUGUGAAUUUUCGAGACCUUUGGCAUCGUUCUAAGAUGGGUCCUCUCUUCGUAGGCUAAUGCAUUGGCCCUUUUUGACCCGUUUUGGGGCGAAAACAAAAACUGACUCCCCCGGGCAUAUAUUUUUUCGGCCUUUAUGGGCAAAGAACUUUAGUACCGCUCAAAAUGAGGCCACCCAGUAGUUAGGUGUGAAUUUUCGAGACCUUUGGCAUCGUUCUAAGAUGGGUCCUCUCUUCGUAGGCUAAUGCAUUGGCCCUUUUUUGACCCGUUUUGGGGCGAAAACAAAAACUGACUCCCGGGCAUAUAUUUUUUCGGCCUUUAUGGGCAAAUAACUUUAGUACCGCUCAAAAUGAGGCCACCCAGUAGUUAGGUGUGAAUUUUCGAGACCUUUGGCAUCGUUCUAAGAUGGGUCCUCUCUUCGUAGGCUAAUGCAUUGGCCCAUUUUUGACCCGUUUUGGGGCGAAAACAAAAAACUGACUCCCGGGCAUAUUUUUUUCGGCCUUUAUGGGCAGAGAACUUUAGUACCGCUCAAAAUGAGGCCACCCAGUAGUUAGGUGUGAAUUUUCGAGACCUUUGGCAUCGUUCUAAGAUGGGUCCUCUCUUCGUAGGCUAAUGCAUUGGCCCUUUUUUGACCCGUUUUGGGGCGAAAACAAAAACUGACUCCCGGGCAUAUUUUUUUCGGCCUUUAUGGGCAAAGAACUUUAGUACCGCUCAAAAUGAGGCCACCCAGUAGUUAGGUGUGAAUUUUCGAGACCUUUGGCAUCGUUCUAAGAUGGGUCCUCUCUUCGUAGGCUAAUGCAUUGGCCCUUUUUUGACACGUUUUGGGGCGAAAACAAAAACUGACUCCCGGGCAUAUUUUUUUCGGCCUUUAUGGGCAAAGAACUUUAGUACCGCUCAAAAUGAGGCCACCCAGUAGUUAGGUGUGAAUUUUCGAGACCUUUGGCAUCGUUCUAAGAUGGGUCCUCUCUUCGUAGGCUAAUGCAUUGGCCCUUUUUUGACCCGUUUUGGGGCGAAAACAAAAACUGACUCCCGGGCAUAUUUUUUUCGGCCUUUAUGGGCAAAGAACUUUAGUACCGCUCAAAAUGAGGCCACCCAGUAGUUAGGUGUGAAUUUUCGAGACCUUUGGCAUCGUUCUAAGAUGGGUCCUCUCUUCGUAGGCUAAUGCAUUGGCCUUUUUUGACCCGUUUUGGGGCGAAAACAAAAACUGACUCCCGGGCAUAUUUUUUUCGGCCUUUAUGGGCAAAGAACUUUAGUACCGCUCAAAAUGAGGCC
rnacentral:lncRNA from 1 species